UGUGUCUAUCCUUGGGCAGCUGUGUUC
rnacentral:piRNA from 1 species